rnacentral:rRNA from 1 species
ACAUGCCUACAACAUAGCGUUAAUGCACUGGAUCCCAUUAGAACUUUGCAGUUAAGCACGCUCAGGCUAGAGUAGUACUGGGAUGGGUGACCGCCUGGAAAGUCCUUGUGUUUUACAUGCC